AGAGGCUCAAGUUGACAGACAACGGCGUAAAGCGUGGUUAGGAUAACUUUUUUGACUAAAGCGGAACCUCCUCAUAGCUGUUAUACGCUUUCGAGGAAGUGAACCCCAACUACGAAAGUGGCUUUAUUCAACCUGAACCCACGAAAGCUAAGAAACAAACUGGGAUUAGAUACCCCACUAUGCUUAGCCUUAAACAUUGAUAGUUUACUACAUUAAACAUCCGCCUGGGAAUUACGAACACUAGUUUAAAACCCAAAGGACUUGGCGGUGCUUAACAUCCACCUAGAGGAGCCUGUUCUAGAACCGAUAAUCCCCGUUCAACCUCACCCCCCCUAGCUUUUUCCGCCUAUAUACCACCGUCGCCAGCUUACCCUGUGAAGGACUAAUAGUAAGCACAAUCGGCACAGCCCAAAACGUCAGGUCGAGGUGUAGUGCAUGGGAGGGGAAGAAAUGGGCUACAUUCGCUGUCACCAGCGAACACGAAUAAUACAUUGAAACAUGUAAUUGAAGGAGGAUUUAGCAGUAAGCAGAAAGUAGAGCGUUCCGCUGAAGCCGGCUCUUAAGCGCGCACACACCGCCCGUCACCCUCCCCGAGCAACUGGACCUAAAUUUUUCUUUAAACCCCUACAACCGCGAAGGAGAGGAAAGUCGUAA
rnacentral:rRNA from 1 species